ACACGUAUGAAAGACAAGCUGAAAGACUUUUCUCAAUGAUGUAAGUGGUGGUGCAUGGUCGUUCUUAGUUCGUGGAGUGGUUUGUCUGGUCUAUUCCGAUAACGAGCGAGACCCCGACGUUCCUAAUAGGGGCAGCAGCCCGGCUUUCACCCGCAAGGGAGUUCGCUAGCAGCUGUCUCACAAUAUGCUUCUUAGACGUAUCAGAGCCGAUAAGGUUCUUGAAAUGGGUUAAUAACAGGUCAGUCAUGCCCUUAGAUGUUCUGGGCCGCACGCGCGUUACAAUGGCAUGCAUUAGAAAGUGCUCAAAAGGGCGUAUCCGCGGCCUACAGGUCGCGGUAACCCUUAGUCCCUGCCUUGACUGGGACAGACUAUUGCAAUUAUUGGUCUCAAACGAGGAAUUUUUAGUAGUCGCAGGUCAUUAACCUGCGACGA
rnacentral:rRNA from 1 species